CGGCGCUCGCCGCGGCCAGUGCGGGGGCGUCGUUGACGCCGUCGCCGACGACGAGGACCUUGUCGCCGGCCCGUUCCCACUCGCGUACCGCCGC
rnacentral:tRNA from 1 species